GGAGGAGUAGCGAAGUGGCUAAACGCGACGGACUGUAAAGCCGUUCCUUCGGGUUCAGUGUUUCGAAUCCACUCUCCUCCCCCA
rnacentral:tRNA from 1 species